CCCUUAAGUUUGAUCAUGACUCAGAUUGAACGCUGGCGGUAUGCUUAACACAUGCAAGUCGAAACGGUAAACAGCAGAGCUUGCUCUGGCUGACGAGUGGCGGACGGGUGAGUAACGCGUAGGAAUCUGCCUAGUAGUGGGGGACAACUCGGGGAAACCCGAGCUAAUACCGCAUACGCCCUACGGGGGAAAGCGGGGGAUCUUCGGACCUCGCGCUAUUAGAUGAGCCUGCGUUGGAUUAGCUUGUUAGUGAGGUAAUGGCUCACCAAGGCUGCGAUCCAUAGCUGGUCUGAGAGGACGAUCAGCCACACUGGGACUGAGACACGGCCCAGACUCCUACGGGAGGCAGCAGUGGGGAAUAUUGGACAAUGGGCGAAAGCCUGAUCCAGCAAUACCGCGUGUGUGAAGAAGGCCUGCGGGUUGUAAAGCACUUUCAGUAGGGAAGAAAAGCCUGAGGUUAAUAGCCUCGGGUCUUGACGUUACCUACAGAAGAAGCACCGGCUAACUCAGUGCCAGCAGCCGCGGUAAUACUGAGGGUGCAAGCGUUAAUCGGAAUUACUGGGCGUAAAGCGCACGUAGGCGGUUUAUUAAGUCAGAUGUGAAAGCCCUGGGCUUAACCUGGGAACUGCAUUUGAGACUGGUAGGCUAGAGUAUGGUAGAGGAUAGUGGAAUUCCGGGUGUAGCGGUGAAAUGCGUAGAUAUCCGGAGGAACAUCAGUGGCGAAGGCGGCUAUCUGGACCAAUACUGACGCUGAGGUGCGAAAGCGUGGGGAGCGAACAGGAUUAGAUACCCUGGUAGUCCACGCCGUAAACGAUGUCAACUAGUUGUUGGGGGGAUUUAACCCUUUAGUAACGUAGCUAACGCGAUAAGUUGACCGCCUGGGGAGUACGGCCGCAAGGUUAAAACUCAAAUGAAUUGACGG
rnacentral:rRNA from 1 species